rfam:Myotis lucifugus cont2.11304, whole genome shotgun sequence.
AGUUCGGUCCUCGGGUGAUGCACCCUGGAAUCGGGCUCCCUCCUCUCUGGUUCCGGGUAUGUCACCUGAAAACCACA